rnacentral:misc_RNA from 1 species
UUUCCGUAGGUGAACCUGCGGAAGGAUCAUUAUUGUAUAACCGAGGUGCGAGGGCUGUCGCUGACCCGAAAGGUCGUGCACGCCCAAGUGCACUCAUAUACAUACAUCUCACCCCUAUGUGCACCACCGCGUGGGUCCCCCUUUGGCUUGUUGGGAGAGGGGCUUACGUUUUCACACUAACUUUGUAUGCAGUGUAGAAUGUAUUUUUUGUUUUUGCGAUCCCGCAAUCAAUACAACUUUCAGCAACGGAUCUCUUGGCUCUC